GUCCUUACCAUAUACUUAGCACAUGCCUAGGAUACAACAAAUAGUUGUGAACACCGUAUUUUGCCAUAUACAAUGCACACACUUUGCCCAAAUUUUUGAGGGGAAAAAUAAGGGUGAGCAUUAUACAAGGGUAGUACCUAAAAUACUUUGUAUCUAUUCUUGUGUUUUGUAAUUAUUUGUUACAUAAAAUUUCUUGUACCAUAAAUUGUUCAACCAUA